UCUCGUCUCCCAUGGUGACAGAAUGAAGAGGAGGGCGAUAAACCUGCUCUGGUGUCUAUUCCCAACCCGCUCUACGUCGGUUCCAGAGCCUUCAACCAACCCUUUGGUAUCAAUGAACAAUGUGAAGAGGCUGAACCAGCAGAACCAGCAGAACCAGCAGAACCAGCUCCUCAACUACUGGAUUUAUGAGAACAAUAACAACAUUAUGUGGGCGCUUAAGGAAGGGCUGGAGUUAAUUGACUUUCUGCAUUUGAACAAACUAUGCCGGGAAUAUGUAAAUAAAAUAUGACUUAGGCCUAUAUUUUCCAAAGACAAUGGCUGGGUUUCAAUCCGUGAAAACGCUGUCUGUGCUUUUUAAAAGGCGGAGAUGGCAUUACUGGCAAACACUAUUAGAAUUUACCUUAAAAUGUCAAACUUGUUAAAACGCGGUCUCCUUUAAAAAGGCGCAUUGUUAGCUGUCCUAUGCUCUACUCUAUUACAUGCUUUGAAUUUAACCCUAAACUCUGUUAAAGGUCUGUUUUCCCAAAAAAAUGUUAAGGGACGAGGCUGGAUUGAAAACUGGAUUGAAAACGCGACCCUCCACAGAAACAACACUGAUGCAAAAUGUCAGGCAUGUUUAUAUGACACUGUAUUAAAAUAUUCCUUCUAUGCA